rnacentral:rRNA from 1 species
UACGUAGGGACCAAGCGUUGUUCGGAUUUACUGGGCGUAAAGGGCGCGUAGGCGGCGUGACAAGUCACUUGUGAAAUCUCUGAGCUUAACUCAGAACGGCCAAGUGAAACUGUUGUGCUAGAGUGCGGAAGGGGAAUCGGAAUUCUUGGUGUAGCGGUGAAAUGCGCAGAUAUCAGGAGGAACACCGGUGGCGAAGGCGGGUCUCUGGGCCGAUACUGACGCUGAGGAGCGAAAGCGUGGGGAGCGAACAGG